ACUAAACAGGAUUCUCUUAGUAACUGCGAGUGAACAGAGAUUAGCCCAACAUCGAAGCCACCAUGCAUUUGUAUGGGAGGCAAUGUGAUGUUUUGGUGUUUGAACGCACUGUCUGGCUAACUUGAAGUCCAUAUUUGACUGUGGCUUGUAUUUAUACACCCAGAGAUGGUGAUAGGCCCGUUCAGGUUGGUAUUCUGGCAUGACAGUUCAGUGUGUAAUCAUUCAUCAUAGAGUCGGAUUGCUUGAGAGUGCAGUCCAAAAUGGGUGGUAAACUCCAUCUAAGGCUAAAUACCUGUACGAGUCCGAUAGUCAACAAGUACCGUGAGGGAAAGUUGAAAAGUACUCUGAAGAGAGAGUAAAUAGUACGUGAAACCACAUGGAGGUUAAACAAAUAGAGUCAAGCUGCUUGCAUCAUAUCAUUGCAAUAUGCGCAUUUUGUUGCAUGACAUUUGCCGGGACCUGGCGUGUGAUUCUGUCUACUUGUAGGCAUUUGAACAUGUGUUUGUUGUUGAAAGGUCUCGGUGAGUGUCUGCGCUUAUUGUUCAUGAUGGGUGCUAAUGCCAUAGUCGGUUGUACUACCAGUGCGCAGUAAUCGGCGAUUGUGCGGGCUGACUUAUUGUCGUUCGUGCAAUCAGUGAAACAGUUGGCAACAGUGUGUGCUUGCAUUCGCUUUUGUCAAAGAAGGCCACGGCCUGUUGAUUACUGUGAACAUUGUGAGAGUCGACCGUUCAUAUGUGCUCAUAUAAUUUGUGGUAGUAAGUCGACUUGUCGACUACUUCCAUAAAUGAGCUUAUGAGCUAUGGUAUUGUGGUAGACUUUCUAUUUG
rnacentral:rRNA from 1 species